rnacentral:rRNA from 1 species
AGCGGCGGACGGGUGAGUAACGCGUGGGUAACCUGCCUCAUACAGGGGGAUAACAGUUGGAAACGGCUGCUAAUACCGCAUAAGCGCACAGUACCGCAUGGUACGGUGUGAAAAACUCCGGUGGUAUGAGAUGGACCCGCGUCUGAUUAGGUAGUUGGUGGGGUAACGGCCUACCAAGCCGACGAUCAGUAGCCGACCUGAGAGGGUGACCGGCCACAUUGGGACUGAGACACAGCCCAA